GCCCGACUAGCUCACCGGUAGAGCGCCUCACUAGUAUACAUUGUCGGAAUGUGCAAUGAGGAGGCAACAGGUUCGACUCCUGUGUUGGGCA